rnacentral:rRNA from 1 species
GACGAACGCUGGCGGCGUGCUUAACACAUGCCAGUCGAACGGAAAGGCCCUGCUUUUGUGGGGUGCUCGAGUGGCGAACGGGUGAGUAACACGUGAGUAACCUGCCCUUGACUUUGGGAUAACUUCAGGAAACUGGGGCUAAUACCGGAUAGGAGCUCCUGCUGCAUGGUGGGGGUUGGAAAGUUUCGGCGGUUGGGGAUGGACUCGCGGCUUAUCAGCUUGUUGGUGGGGUAGUGGCUUACCAAGGCUUUGACGGGUAGCCGGCCUGAGAGGGUGACCGGCCACAUUGGGACGGAGAUACGGCCAAGACUCCUACGGGAGGCAGCGGUGUGGAAUAUUGCACAAUGGGCGAAAGCCUGAUGCAGCAACGCCGCGUGCGGGAUGACGGCCUUCGGGUGGUAAACCGCUUUCGCCUGUGACGAAGCGUAAGGGACGGUAAUGGGUAAAGAGGCACCGGCGAAUUACGU